CCAUCCUCCCUCCCCCUGCUUCUAUGAGGGUGUUCCUCCACCCACCCACCCACUCCUACCUCCCUGCCAUCAGUUCCCCUACACUGGGGGCAUCUAUCGAGCCUUCAUAGGACCAAGGACCUCUCCUCCCAUUGAUGCAUGACAGGCCAUCCUCUACAACAUAUGCAGCUGGAGCCAUGUGUACUCCUUUGUUUGAUGGCUUAGUCCCUGGGAGCUCCUGCCUCUAUUCUUUUAAAAAAUGUACUUUAAGUAGUAAUCAGUGAUGCUGCUAGUUGGGUUUUCCAUGAAACGGAGGGAGAGUUAGGGAAAGAAUCAGCUAGUGUUCAGUUCUCAAAUGGCUAAUGGACUGCUGACAGUCAGUCUGGACCUUGUUACAAGGAAGGGGAUAAAUAGGGCCAGGAGUAGAAUAAAGAACUUCCAGAGUGUGCCAAGGGCUAGCUGUGAACUUUUUAAUCAGCCAAGACAGGUGUGAUGUCUGGGAGAGUUUGCCAAAGCCAUUGACCUAUGAUCAGCAGGUAAACAGGGAAGCAAGCAAGAUGGCAAAACAAGGGAUUUAGAACCACAAGUUUGGCUGAGACUGACAAUGACAUGCACACAUGCAACAAGUUAAUAAUGCCUUCCUUAACUGGCACUGAACGCAUCCUUUGGGGAGGCAGCAGAUAAUGCACUUGCAGUGGCAAGUGCUGAAGCAGAUGGCUGUUGACAGCGUGAACCCAGGAGCUGCAGACGAGGUUGCCCUGGAGACGUGCUCAGCUUUCUCAGAAUCUGAAUGGAGAGCUACCCCGCUAAUGGAUGAAAUCAUCCGUUAAAGAACAGGAGGAAGAAUGGAGGUCUCUCACAUCCUGUGCAGUGUCUGCCUGUGUGUCUCUAUACUCAGUCCCAUCUGCUGCAGGAGGAAGGAAGCCUCUUUGAUGAUGACCGAACAAGACACUAUCUGUCAGUAUAACAGAAUAUCAUUUGGAUUAAUUGUAUCACAGCAUUAUUUUUUUUUAGAACAGUAGUAUUUGGUUUUACUUUUGGUCUCUGGGCUAUCUAAUAUGUGGUUCUUGGUCACACAAGCAGUGUUGGAUAUGUUUUCAUCUUGUGAAGUGGGUCUUGGGUCAAAUCAGAUAAUGGUUGGUUACUCCCAAAGCUCUGCACCACCCCUAGGACAGGCGUUUUCAGUCUUCCUAAUGCUGUGACCCUUUAAUACAGUUCCUUAUGUUGUGGCGACCGGAGGCUAUAAAAUUGUUUCAUUAUAACUGCAAUUUUUGCUACUGUUACAAAUUGUAAUAUAAAUAUCUGAUACUUGGGGCUGGAGAGAUGGCUCAGUGGUUAAGAGCACUGACUGCUUUUCCAAAGGUCCUGAGUUCAAAUCCCAGCAACCAUCUAUAAUGGGAUCUGACACCCUCUUCUGGUGUGUCUGAAGACUACAACAGUGUACUCACAUAUAUAAAAUAAAUAAAUCUUUUAUUAAAACAAUUUUUAAUACUUGACCCCCAAAUGGUCACAACCAACAUGGGUUGAGAACUGGUGUCCUAGGAUUGUGGCUGGCUGGUGUUUACAUUUUUCUUUUGGUACCAUGCAGAGUACCAAAAACAAUGCUAGAACAUAUGGGAGAAGGCUCUAUGUAGGUACCAGCUCAAUGUCUACAUAUUCAGUAAAUUGUGUAGGUGUUGUCUUUUGAAAUGGGAACUUGCUAUCAGUUUGGGGAGAUUAACCUAUUGUCUUUGCUACAACCUGUGUUGUUCAGGAUUCCCAUAGGAAUCCUUUGGUUAACGAUUCAAUUAGGUGUAACCCAAUACCCAUCGUGGAAGCUUAAUUUGUUGACAAGAGAUGGCCAGUUGGGGCUCUGUCUUUCUCAUUAUUUGGCAAUUUGAUUUAGGUUACUUCCUAUAUGUGUAUAUUUUAGGAAGUUUCUUCUGUGUUGGGUUCCUAUAACAUUCCUCAAAUGCCCCUUACUUUUAGCUGUCUCUCCCUGUAUUAUCUCCCCCAACCCCCUUUCUUAUCUCCCUCCCCACUUUAUCCUGCCAUUCCAUCCACUUAUCCAUCCAUAACUAUUUAUUCUAUUCCCAUUUCCUAACAAGCUCUAUCUCUACCCUCUGGUCCCUUACUGUGUGCUUACCCAUUGUGGUCCUAAAGAUUUUAAGUGGUUAGCAUUGAUAUAACAGCUAAUGUCCACAUAUAAGUGGGAAUGCACCAACCAUGUUUGUCUUUCUAGGUCGGGGAUGCCUUUUUAUCUAGUUUCAUCCAUUUGUCUGCAAAUUUCAUGAUGAUUUUUUUUUAAACAGCUGAAUAAAACCCUUUUGAAUAAAUGUGC